AUUUUAAUCAGUACUACGUAAUUUGGAACAAGGUACCCUUAUUUUUUGAUUCCUGGCUCAGAUUGAACGCUGGCGGCAGGCUUAACACAUGCAAGUCGAGCGGAGUGAUGGUGCUUGCACUAUCACUUAGCGGCGGACGGGUGAGUAAUGCUUAGGAAUCUGCCUAUUAGUGGGGGACAACAUCUCGAAAGGGAUGCUAAUACCGCAUACGUCCUACGGGAGAAAGCAGGGGAUCACUUGUGACCUUGCGCUAAUAGAUGAGCCUAAGUCGGAUUAGCUAGUUGGUGGGGUAAAGGCCUACCAAGGCGACGAUCUGUAGCGGGUCUGAGAGGAUGAUCCGCCACACUGGGACUGAGACACGGCCCAGACUCCUACGGGAGGCAGCAGUGGGGAAUAUUGGACAAUGGGGGGAACCCUGAUCCAGCCAUGCCGCGUGUGUGAAGAAGGCCUUAUGGUUGUAAAGCACUUUAAGCGAGGAGGAGGCUCUUUUGGUUAAUACCCAGAAUGAGUGGACGUUACUCGCAGAAUAAGCACCGGCUAACUCUGUGCCAGCAGCCGCGGUAAUACAGAGGGUGCAAGCGUUAAUCGGAUUUACUGGGCGUAAAGCGCGCGUAGGCGGCCAAUUAAGUCAAAUGUGAAAUCCCCGAGCUUAACUUGGGAAUUGCAUUCGAUACUGGUUGGCUAGAGUGUGGGAGAGGAUGGUAGAAUUCCAGGUGUAGCGGUGAAAUGCGUAGAGAUCUGGAGGAAUACCGAUGGCGAAGGCAGCCAUCUGGCCUAACACUGACGCUGAGGUGCGAAAGCAUGGGGAGCAAACAGGAUUAGAUACCCUGGUAGUCCAUGCCGUAAACGAUGUCUACUAGCCGUUGGGGCCUUUGAGGCUUUAGUGGCGCAGCUAACGCGAUAAGUAGACCGCCUGGAGUACGCAUUAAUU
rnacentral:rRNA from 1 species